rfam:Bacillus sp. FJAT-22058 super1, whole genome shotgun sequence.
ACGAUGUUCCGCUGCAAACAAUAAGUAUUUGCAAGAGCGUCCA